rnacentral:rRNA from 1 species
AGGACGACGCUGGCGGCGUGCUUAACACGUGCAAGUCGAACGGAAAGGCCCUGCUUUUGUGGGGUGCUCGAGUGGCGAACGGGUGAGUAACACGUGAGUAACCUGCCCUUGACUUUGGGAUAACUUCAGGAAACUGGGGCUAAUACCGGAUAGGAGCUCCUGCUGCAUGGUGGGGGUUGGAAAGUUUCGGCGGUUGGGGAUGGACUCGCGGCUUAUCAGCUUGUUGGUGGGGUAGUGGCUUACCAAGGCUUUGACGGGUAGCCGGCCUGAGAGGGUGACCGGCCACAUUGGGACUGAGAUACGGCCCAGACUCCUACGGGAGGCAGCAGUGGGGAAUAUUGCACAAUGGGCGGAAGCCUGAUGCAGCAACGCCGCGUGCGGGAUGACGGCCUUCGGGUUGUAAACCGCUUUCGCCUGUGACGAAGCGUGAGUGACGGUAAUGGGUAAAGAAGCACCGGCUAACUACGUG